rnacentral:rRNA from 1 species
AUUGAACGCUGGCGGCAGGCCUAACACAUGCAAGUCGAACGAGUGGCGGACGGGUGAGUAAUGUCUGGGAAACUGCCUGAUGGAGGGGGAUAACUACUGGAAACGGUAGCUAAUACCGCAUACCAUCAGAUGUGCCCAGAUGGGAUUAGCUAGUAGGUGAGGUAACGGGUCACCUAGGCGACGAUCCCUAGCUGGUCUGGGAGGAUGACCCGCCAAACUGGAACUGAGACACGGUCCAGACUCCAACGGGAGGAAGCAGUGGGGAAUAUUGCACAAUGGGCGCAAGCCUGAUGAGGCCAUGCCGCGUGUAUGAAGAAGGCCUUCGGGUUGUAAAGUACUUUCAGCGGGGAGGCGUUACCCGCAGAAGAAGCACCGGCUAACUCCGUGCCAGCAGCCGCGGUAAUAC